CAACUUUCAGCAAUGGAUCUCUUGGUUCUCGCAUCGAUGAAGAACGCAGUGAAAUGCGAUAACUGGUGUGAAUUGCAUCUAUGUAACUCUAAUUUACGGAUAACACCAAGUGAAUCAUCGAGUCUUUGAACGCAAUUGCGCCCUCUCGGUCGCUUCC
rnacentral:rRNA from 1 species